rnacentral:lncRNA from 1 species
CUUCAUGCGCUGACUGAAGGAACCACUUGCUGUUGCUGCUGCUGCUUCUCUGGUCUCCCUUUCAUUUCCUUGGCCUUUGGUUUCGGCGGAGUGCCUGCCGCCUUUGCUCUCUGCUCCUUCGGCGCCGCUUUCUUCUGAUCGCUUGGAGGUGAUGGUGAUGGCUUCUUCUGAUCAGUAGGUGAUGGUGAUGGCUUUUUCUGAUCAGCGGUUAACGGUGAUGGCUUUUUCUUAGGGGCUUUCCGGUCAUUGACGUUGUUGCUUAGGGUGAUGGAGCCUUGCAGCUUCAGAGCCGAUGGGUUUGUGUUGCUGUUAUCCUUCUUUGCCUGUG